rnacentral:pre_miRNA from 1 species
AGCCCUCUGUAUCCGUGCUGAGAUUUCGUCAGAGAUCAACCCGUUGAAUCUGAUGGUACUCCUCAAAUAAGUGAAGCU